AUUGCAGAAACUGGAGUGAGCUAAUGAGAGAAGGAGUUCUGUAGGGACUGAACAGCCCAGCCUGCAGUAAUCACAAGUGGAAUGCUGUCAGUCCAUCCGAGAACAGGCAGUGUUGCAGCGCAAACAACAGACACCUCGGGAAAUGCAGAUGCGUCAUCUGGAGGGUCAGAAACCUAGUGAAGCCCCAGCAGACCCACCACUCUGGAGUUGCACAAGAAAAUACUCUGUCCUAAAGAGUUGGUUUGCUGUGAUAGGUUAAGAGAGGCUGAAAAGAGACUGUCGCCUUUAUGAUAGAGAGAAUCGCACAGGAUUUUGAAAAUCACUGAGCUGUUCCCAUUUAACUUUUGGACACGUGCAUGGAUGCAUUCACAUGAUUUUCUUCUCAAGGAUAAAUGGCAUGGUCACAAAAACACUGGAAUGCUGGCGCACACUCUUAUUUCCAUCCUUUGUUCAUGCCUUGGGCACCCUUUCAGGAAUAACAGAUUUUGGUCUCAAAUUUUUCUGGCAUAAUCCCAGCUGCAUGGCUGUUCAGAGAAGCAAAUGAACCUUGUCAACGGGAUAUCUGACAACAAGGUAAGUCCAGAUGUAGAUGUGGAAAAUGGAAACUGUAUUUUUUGUUGUU